UUUCCUUCUUUCUCUAUGCUGGUUUUAUCAUUCAUGAAGUUGUUUGUUAGUGUGUAAAGCUCAUGCACUUUAUCACAAAUAAGCAAUUUUUCAAGCUUCGUGUGCAUCGCAUUGUAUGUAUUGUCAAGAUUUAAGGAAUAGAAUAGAAAGACGUAUGACACUUAUAAAAUGACUCCUUACAUAUUGUAUGGUUUGGAAACAGUCAUGUCGUGCGUUUCCUUCCUCGUUUCCUCUAUCUUUUUUCCUAUUCUUUUUUCUAUCGUUCCUUCUUGAUGCCCUAAUUUGUCUGCAGUGUGACCAAUGCAUAGCUAUUAGUGGUUGGGACUAUGUCCACUAUAUUUUGGCUAGAUUGAGUUGUGAUCUGAGUUUGGUGUGAUACGGUUUUCUUUUGUUUAGUCUGCGCAUGACAAGUUGGUUUAGGUUGAGUUUGCUUUAAGCAUGAUAUAAAAACCUAAAAUGUUUCGUUAGACACUUGGUCCUUGGGAUUUGACCCCAAUGUCAUUUUAUCCUUAGAUUUUGAAAUGUAACAAUUUAGUCCCUGAAUUUUGUUUUUGCUUAAUAAUAAAGUCCUUAUGUUAGGCCUUGUUUGGUAUUGUGUUUGUUUUUUAUUUUUUAAAUAGAAUUUUGUAUAUAAAAUGGUGUAAGAAUGGAUAGUGGAUUUGCUUGCAAUUAGUGUUUGAAAAGGCGCACGCCUCAGCACCUAGGUGGGCCUUAGCGUAGCUGAGGCGUAGUGCCCUCUCUGAAGCAUGCGCCUAGGCUUUGAGGUGUGCGCCUCUGAUACGCCUUGUGAUAUUUAAAU